AAGUUCUGGUUCUUCAGUACCAUCUACUACUUUGGUAACUGGGUGUUUAUCGGGGUUUUCCUCAUCGGCCUGUUGGUGUCAUGUUGUAAGGGGAAGAAAUCAGUGAUCGAAGGAGAGGUGGAGGCAGAUGACUCUGACAUGAGUGAAGACGAAUAUGUCCACUGACAAGACCACAGCCUGCCGGACCUGGGUUCAAAUACUAUUUGAAAUGUUUUAAAUACUUUUGAGCAUUUGCUUUAGCCUGCCUGGGAGUGUCGGGUGGGCGGGGUUUGCAUGUUCUGGACUUUUCUAUGGGUUCACCUGCAAAAGGCAAGCUUAAUCAAAUACAAUUGAAGUAUUUUAAAUCAUUUUAAACAGUGUGCCCUAAUGAAUAUGGCCCAGGUCUGCUACCUGCAUGGACCAGGAGACAUUUGAACCGGAUUGGUUUCUGUUACAGCUGGUUUGCUAUAACAUAAGAAUAUGACAUUUGGAUUGUUCAUACAAGGCAGUAAAACUUUAAUUUGAACUGUUGUUUUCUGGUUUCUGCCUGAGAUUGGUUAAUAUUCCACAACGUUGUGUUGAUACUGAUGUAUUAUAACAGGAGAGGGUGAUGGUGAGGUUGCUCUUUUCUAUUAGGGCAACUUUUUGUUUUUUGUUCAGUCAAGUGUCUUUGUUCAAAGCAGUAUGUAAACCCUGAAUGCAUCCCAAAUGGCACCCUAUUUCAAAUAUAGUGCACUUCUUUUGACCAAAGCCCUAUUGGACCCCGGUCAUAAGUAGUGCACUAUAUAGGAUAUAGUGUUCCAUUUGAGAUGCAACCCUCUUUGUGUUACUACGGGUAUGUGCCUGUUGUUUCAAAUGUGAUCUCCACCAAUUCCAUGUUUUAUGUUUCCAAAAAGAAAGAUUUAGUGUUGCAAAAUUCUGGUAUAUUUUCCAAAAUGAGAGGAUUCUGAAUUCCCUGCUUAUUACCCUCACUAUUCUGGGAAUCUUCAAAUGGGGACGAAAAAGACAGAAAAACCAGGUGAAAGUUCCUAACAUUUUCCAACCCUAAGAAAGGUCCCUGGUUGAGAACCAAACGGUGGUACUGGAUGUUUUGGAUCCUGAAAAGACAAGAUGUUGUCGGGGAAACAAUAGUCCAGGAUUACUUUGUUUCUUAUUUAUUUGAACUCAACACAUUUUUGUUGUCAUGUACAUUUCUGUAAUAUAUGGCUGGAUAAAUGUUUAUUUUAGCCUUUAACAGAUGUAUUAUUUUUAAGAUGAGUAACUUAGCACAUUCAGCAUGUUAACUUACAGCAACAAAUAUGGACAUGUAUUUGAGACCAUAUUGAUAAUGCACAUUGCUGAGUUAAAAUAUAUAUUCUCUUAUCCCUGAUUUUGGUUGUGUUUGGUUGGUCUUAGCUUGACUAACUGUUAUUGCGUUAAUGAAUUGAUUUGCUGUAAAGUUAUCUGAACAUGAACCGAGCAUAAUAUCACUUGACUACUGAUCACGAUAUCAAUUUACUUUAUGAAUUUGGAAUAAAAUAUGAAUUCUGAAUUGA